rnacentral:lncRNA from 1 species
CUUGAGGGAAGCACUGACUGGUGAAUUCCCUAAUCAAUUUACUGUAGCUUCCUUUGCCCUAUUAAGGGUGAAUGUUGUAACAGCACACUGUGAAUAUGCUCCUCCCUUAAUGUGCUCUUUAUGAAAAAGGAAAAAAAUCCCUGUAACUGAAUAAAUCUAAACUGCUUGGUAAACAAACACAAAUGAUAUUAUUUUUCUUGAUAUUUCUAGGGUUCUGGUGGGCACAGCAUUCUUACAGUUUUGGGAUGAUGAGUCAUAUAAAUAUUGCCUCUGUAUUUUUGCAGGAAGAGGAGAGGAUGCUCUUCCAGCUUGGCACUAGCCAGGAAAGUCCCAUAGACCCAGCUCCGGAGCACUUGCCAGCAUACAGGGGCCUUCUGUGGCAGUGGCAUGGGGGCUCUUGUGUCGCUGCUUGGUCCAGGGUCUCGCUGACACUCGGUGACAUUCCCCCUCUUGGCUCUCAGGGGAUCUUCCUGCUCAUUCCAUCCAAGGGGAUCUUCUGGGACAAAAGCUCCAAGACCAGCAAUGAUCCAUGGACUCCUCACAGCCAAGUGUCCUUGGGACUGUUCUGGGAACCAAAAGUCAAGCUGUGAGCAAAGCUCUUCCUCUGCCUUCUCCUCACCCACGUGAACGGUAGCAUUAAUGUAUUCAGCUCUUGUUUCUUGUCCCCAGCUUCCUCUGACUCAUAAAUGGGAAUGCAAAGAAAACCAUCUCCAUAUUGCAACAGAGCUGUGCCUGGGAGGGAACAGGUGAUACCUAAGGCACUGGAGUAACUUGGGAUCAUAAGCCUGCCCUUUCAAAAGCCAGGCUUUCAGGCUUCUGAAGCUGUGAGGCAAAGCCACAGCCUAGCUCGUAGCCCUACACCUUCACAGCUCCACAUUGUGGCUACAGAACAGAUAGUUGUCUGGGGUUACUUACUGAGUCAAUUAAUGAGAUAAAGUGUGAGUGAGAGCGUAUUGGGUAAUUCAGAGGUUGAAAGGCUAUAUUGAAACACAUCUGAUGAUAAUUAAGUUUAACUGUACAAUUUUAUCUGGCCAAACAUAAUUACUUGCGAUUAAAUGUAUGUCAGUGCAGCUGAUUGACACGUACACUGUACAACCAUGGCAUGCAAAGGACAAGGCUUAGGUCAGUUGCAGGAAAAAGUAAAAGAGCAUCCUUGCAGGGAUGAAGCAGGAGAAAAAAGAAAAAAAAUAUUGGCAAUUAACUUCACACAGAGUUUAACACCCAUUUUUAAGGAAAAUAUGUGUCCCAACCUAGAGCUAGAUUUUCUUUAAUUUUCUUCUGGACUCUCUCCUCUGUCAGGUUAAAUGCAGGUGUAACAUACAGGUAUAGUGAUUACAGUAUAGUCCUUUAUUGUGGUUAAUGCUAUGAGUGGAAAGAGUUACUGAAAGGAGGAAAAUGGUGGGUUUAGUAUGGGCAUGACAGGAAUCAAUAGAAGUGUCUGAUGGUAUCCAUAGGACCUGGUGAUUUGCCAGUGUUAAACAAAUGCUGAAGCUGGCUUGUUUUCAUCUAGAACUGCUACUGAUGUGUACUGCUUCGAAAGACAAUUCUACCAACAACCAAAAUAAAUCUUCUUGAAAUGUGGUUUGAACUGACCCU